rnacentral:pre_miRNA from 1 species
AUGGCCGCCCACUUUAAGUUUGAGCACCAAGCCUCAGGCUUAUUGUUUGGUGUUCAACCUUACAGUGAGCGGACGU